UAACCUCGUGUGACGUCAUUCGCUUUCUCCGUAAAAUUCGCGAAAAAACCUUCUAAAAAAAGCGAUAAAAUUAGAAAUUUAUGCAAAUUAGUUGUGUUUCGCAUACAACGUAAGUAAAGCAAGUAAAGAUUUGUGGUAAAACCUUAUCGUUGACACUUUUUUUGCUCUUUCAAAAAACCAAACGCAUCAUCGCCAUUGCUGGAGAGCCAUUAAAAAAAUCAUAAAAAACUGCAAAAAAAUGAACCGUGGAGGAAAAAUCAACGCAAAACGAGCAUUGGAGGUCAUCCAACAAGCUGCCGACGAAGUAAGUUCCGACAGUUUUUGCGGCUUCUCGGAGGAAGAAGAUGCCUUGCCAGCAAAACGUUUACGAACGUUUACGUACAAACCCAUACAAGCCCAUACAGAAGUCCCCAUGAGCGGUCGUUCGAGCGUAAUUUCACAAUAUUCCGAAAUGGGAACGACCAAAAUUGAGCGAAAACCCACGCGUCGUCCCGAUCCGCACGUGAAUAACCGAAAUGCGAUUAUGGCGCGCGAAAAUCGACGCAAACACAAGGAAAAUCAGGAAAGGCUUGAGCGCGAAAAUGCCAUCUUGCAGAAGGAAAAUGAAGAGUUGCGUGCCCAUCUGAAGGCCAAAGAUCGUCAAAUUAGCAGUUUGCGGCACGAAUACAAAUAUUUGAAGAGCAUAAUUGCGAAUAAAACGCAAAUUUGUGAAAUUUUACGCGCCGUACAAAGUUCCCGGCUCCCGCUGACCUCAAGUUUGGAGAAUUUUCGCAGUGAUCCGUCGCACACGGUAAUGCGCGAAAUGUCUCCCGCAAGCGUUUCAACUGUAUCCGCAACGACAUCCGGCUACCAAUCGCCCUCGACAUCCGAAAAUUCCGACUACGAAAUGGAUGCCAAUGCGUUACCUACAGACCCGAAAUGGGCGAAUGAUCCAAUUUUUUCAGAUAUUCCAGCCACUUCGGAAGACGUCGAUGUCGAUCAUUUCUUGGAUUUUGUCGAUAAUCCAAAUUCUGAGAGUACAACAGGACCAAUUGUACGCGACGAACACAGUUAUUCGGAAAAUAUCGAAGACCCGGGCGUUUGUGUUCACAUUUCCAACCAAAAGGUAUCGAUAGAAUUCUGCUCCAAAUGUCACAAAGGCGCCACAAAUGCAUUUAUGGACGACAUUUAAGCAUUUUUUCACUUGGAACAAUUCAUUGACCAGAGACAUCGCAGAGCACAGAGCUGCAAUUGAAAAGGUGGGAAAACCGCAUCCAAUGACCUUUGCUUCAGGAAUUUACAUGAAAAUUAGCUGAAUUCGUGAAUCGAUUUGUUUCUCUUAGUAAAAAAAAUUGUAAAAAUUCAUGGCUAAGUAUUUCUGAAAAGAAGGAACGUAUCGAACCAAUUCUACAAUUCUAUGGUUGUCAACAGGAAUUUUUGGGAUGUCAAGAACUGAAGGAAAAAAAUUUAUUUUAUUUUUUUUUGUGAACAAAAAAAUUUAAAAGAAAAUCUAAAAAAAAUAUUUUUUUUGAAAAAAUUUUAAAAAAAUUCUAAAAAUUUUUAUUUCUUGAAAAAAAUUUAAAAAAUUUUCAGUUCUUGAAAAAAAAUUUAAAAAAAAUCCCUGUUGACGACGAAAGUUUUUUAAGCACAAAUAUUCUCAUUAUAAAUUCUGUUCCAUGUUACAGCCAAAAAAAAUGAGUGUUUUUAGUCAAAUAAUUUAACCAAAUUAGCCAAAGAAUGAAAGGAAAAGCCACGAAGAUGAAUGGAAAAAUUGUGAUGGUCACAGGUACUUGAUGAGAAACUUUGACGAAAAUUCAUUGAAAGGAGAUUGGAGCGGAAAUGGACUUUUUGGAAAGCAUCGUUUGUCAAUUUUUGGAAAAAUCAAUCAAUCCGAAGUCAACUUUUUGAAACAGAAAUUUUUAGACAAUCAAUUUUUCGAUGCCCAUCCGUUGCUCGAGUCUCCUUUCAACUGUAGAUUUGGCUUUUUUACCCUUUUUCUAUAUAUUUCUUUACAAAAUUUGAAUUAAAUCUCUAAAAGUUACAUUGAGUGCCACACAAAAAUAUUUUACAAAAGAUUUUUAUGAACAAUAAAAAAAAGUCAUAAUUGCUGGUUGAAUGUCCUAAAACAUAGAGUUGAACUUGUAAAAAAGGACAGAUUAUGAUAAAAUCAGUGCCAGUUAAA